UAGUCUCUAAGGUGCCACAAGUCCUCCUUUUCUCAUCAUCACUGUCUCUCUACAGCCAGCCAUGCAAACACACAGCAAGCCCCAUGUUCCAUGGUGAUGUCUUAACAGGGCAGCUCAGGCCUGCAUUGGGAUGCCCAAAAAGGCACCAACCUAUCCAGACCUGCUGCAGUGAUGAGUGGGGUUUAUAAGUGAGCCCCAGCCCCACAACAUGUCCGACAGUACUAAAAGUCUGAGCCAUAACAAAAGCAGCCCCCAAGGGGCUGUCCCAUUACCUCACUCCUGCCUGUGCCUCUGCCCAGCCAGGGCCCAUAGCUGCAAAUAUUAGCAGCAACACAGCCAGCUAGCUCGGCCUCCUGAGAACCAGCUGCAGCCUGGCACUUGGUCUGUUCGAAACAGCGGAUCGCAAAGCAACUCUUCCAGGAGGUAAAUUACUGUCGCUAGCUCUGCGGCGGGCUGAGCUCCUUUGUGUACAGUCGGAGCCUUAGGAGCCCUGGGGGGGGCUGCCUUUGGACCCUCCUCCCCAGUUUGAACCUUUGCUCUCCACCCCCACCCCUCCUUUUUAUUUUUUUAAACUCUGCUGUCAUCCUUGGUGAAAAGCUAUAGCUCAAGCUGAUCAGGCAUCCUCACUCUGUCCUCCGGCUGGGAGAGGAGGGAAAUACUGUGGGGGCUGGGGAACGAGAUCUGGGCUAGUCCUUGUCUCUGCCAUUACAGCCACCGUGCCUGCCUCCCUCACUGCAGCAGCAUCUCCGGCUCAGGCUCUCCCUCCCCUGCAGCCCAAACAGGCAGCCUGUGCCCCUGUCUCUGCCACAUCCACCAUGCUGGAUAUUUUCAUCUUAAUGUUUUUUGCCAUCAUCGGCCUGGUGAUCCUCUCCUACAUCAUCUACCUGCUCUAGGAGCCCCAACAGCAGUGCAGGGGAAGGAUGAAGCACUGCAGCCAGCCAUCCUGCCAGUCAAAGCAUCAUCCAGCAGCAGCAGCCAUGCCAGAGCCAUCAGGAGAAAGAGUUAACCCUUUGCAAGCAACCCGCUUCCUGAGCAGCUGGAGAGAAGAAAACCCCAGAAAGAGCAGCCAUUGGACAGUGCAGAUGUCAAGACUUAUAAAUGCCCUUGACAGAAUGUCUGAGCUGUAAUGCAUCUGAAGAGCAAAUACAAAGCGACCCGGCCUCAAGAAUGGACAGAGAGAGAGCGAGAGAGCGCAUGUGUGAUAAUGAAACCUCACUAUGGAGAAGUGUGUUGUUUUGUUUGCCAUGCUGGUAUUAAGGAAAUGUAACUUCACUGUUCCGUGGCCACAUAGUUAUCCCCCCUUCUUGGGAAAAGUACCUGCUGGUUUUUAGUUUUAGAAAGUAUAUAUAUAUUUUAAUUAAAAAAAUCAGAAAAGGUUAAAAAAGCAACACAGAGCAAAAUCUGAAUAUCACAAUAGUAUCUUAUGCAGACAUGUCACCUUUCAUUUUAACUGAUCACCCACUGCUUAUCACUGGGCAUUGCUAAAAUGCAUCCACUUCUGGGGUGGAGGGUGGCAACUAGCUAGAACACUUCAGGAAUGGCAGCAGGAAUUUUGGACAAGGACUAUAAAGGAAAAUCCCUAUGCAUAAGAAAUAUACAAGGGACCUUUUGGCCCAAUUCAUCAAGACAGAUGGUGCUGAGCCUGUGUUUGAAAAAUGCUUUUAAACACAUUUCUGCCACUAAUCUGAGUGCCCAGCUUCUAUGGAGGGGGCAACAACCGGAACACAGAUUAGCCUCAGAAACUGCUAGAUAGCUAGCAACUCGUACUCCAGGCCUAUUCGGGGAAAGGUGAAUGAUACCAUGUGCCCAUCUGUUUUGCGGGUGGGGGCCCCCAUAGCUCCAAAUAAAGCCACUGAAAGGUGUGGGUGCUAAAUCCCCUCGCUCAAUGUGAGUUGUGUAUCCAAACCAUCUACUGCACCCAGCCAGGAGUUAGAACAAUGGGAGGUCAGAGCUUAAUUUACCACUGCUUGGAGAGGUUUGAGUGAGAGGCUCUGGGGCCUUUUGGGAAAUUUCCCUGUAGGCCAACGUGAUCCUGAAUCAAGCCACUGCCUCUGUGUAUUAUCCCCCUUACACAGCCUUCUAGUGUGCAGGACCAGGAGGAGGUAUGGAGUGGGGAAUGGGUGGGAAAGAGAAAAGAGGCCAAAACACCAGGGCCAAGAUUUUAAAAAGUGGGCACUUUUGGUGCCCGUCUUGGACAGUCCAUAUUCGUGGCCACUUCCACAAAGCUCAACCCACUCCCAGUGCUUGAAUUAUAGGAAAAAAAUGCCUGUGGGCCCUAACCUUUUGUCGACUCAGUAGCAGUGAGCAGUGCAGGCAUAGAGCUCUGGCCUGACUGCUGCAGUCAUGUUUAAUUCUGCCUCACCCUCCAGACACUUUUUAUUUUGGACAAAUGCAAACAGUUUUCUGGAGUUAAAAAUGGAAUGAACAACAACAUGAAAGGCUCAGUCAUCCACUACUGUGUAAUAAGCAUCACAUGUAAUGUUUAUUUCAGAUGUUAUUGUAUAAUGAAAACAACUCUCCUAGAAGGUAAGAUUUUUGUAUGGCUGGAUUCCCCCUGCAGUUAAUUCUUGCUGGGAAGCAAUACACCCCUGGAAAUAGAAGUUUUGUAAUGGAAAAAAUCUUGAUGCAUCCUUAACUCACAUGACCUAGAAUCAUAGAAUAUCAGGGUUGGAAGGGACCUCAGGAGGUCAUCUAGGCCAACCCCCUGCUCAAAGCAGGACCAGUCUCCAACUAAAUCAUCCCAGCCAGGGCUUUGUCAAGCCUGACCUUAAAAAUUUCUAAGGAAGGAGAUUCCACCACCUCCCUAGGUAAUGCAUUCCAGUGUUUCACCACCCUCCUAGGGAAAAAGUUUUUCCUAAUAUCCAACCUAAACCUCCCCCACUGCAACUUGAGACCAUUACUCCUCCUCCUGUCAUCUGCUACCACUGAGAACAGUCCAGAUCCAUCCUCUUUGGAACCCCCUUUCAGGUAGUUGAAAGCAGCUAUCAAAUCCCCCCUCAUUCUUCUCUUCCGCAGACUAAACAAUCCCAGUUCCCUCAGCCUCUCCUCAUAAGUCAUGUGUUCCAGUCCCCUAAUCAUUUUUGUUGCCUUCCGCUGGACAUUUUCCAAUUUUUCCACAUCCUUCUUGUAGUGUGGGGCACAAAACGGGACACAGUACUCCAGAUGAGGUAUCAUUAUAAUUAGGAGGCAAUUUACUCUGAAUUGUAGUGUUUGUGGCUUAUAUAAGCACUUUUGGGGUACAAGUGGCAAGAAUAAUUUGAAAUUUGUUGAUAAGACUUUCUACAAAAAAAAAUGUUUACAUAAAGAUGGGAAUUAUGGUUAUCAUUGCCAGCUGAGUACUUGACAUAGUACAAUUUCCUGUCAGUACAAAAUUUCCCAAGGGAGAAGUACAGUGCGUAUAUCUUUGCCUGUAGAUCCAAAUUGAUGUUCUCCAGUGCAUCUGCUUCAGCCCAAAUUGCAUUACACAGCAUACCACUGCCAGGGCCCAAUUGUGGGUCACAGUCAGGGCUUUAAAAAGGGUGAGAGACCCAAAAUAAGGAACCUAACCCUUCUCUCCACCCCCACAAAACAGUUAAAAUGGAAACUCUAAAUGUUAUGGGAAGCAACUCUUGAAUAUAAAUAAAAUGUUCAGUAACCUCA